GAGGCCUCUGGAAGUCUACAAUCAUGGCAGAAGAUGAAGCAGAAUCUUGCACAUCACAGGACAAAAAGCAGGAGCAAAAAACAAAGGAACCUCUAUUA
rnacentral:lncRNA from 1 species